UACGUAGGGGGCUAGCGUUGUUCGGAAUUACUGGGCGUAAAGCGCGCGCAGGUGGUCUUUCAAGUCAGUGGUGAAAGCCCGGAGCUCAACUCCGGAAAUGCCAUUGAAACUGUAAGACUUGAGGAUGAGAGAGGUGAGUGGAAUUCCCAGUGUAGAGGUGAAAUUCGUAGAUAUUGGGAAGAACACCGGUGGCGAAGGCGGCUCACUGGCUCAUAUCUGACGCUCAGGCGCGACAGCGUGGGGAUCAAACAGG
rnacentral:rRNA from 1 species